AGCAUUGGUUAAUGCGAAUCAGCACUUAUUUAACAGCACAGUCAAAAGCUAUUAUAGUGCUGAUUUAAAGCCACGACUGGCAACACCUUCCAGAUUUUUUUAUAAAACUGGCAACACGAUUCUGGUUAUGAGUGAAGAGUGAGAGAGAGGGAAAAAGCAAAACAAACUGUUCGCUCGCUCAGGCUCCUUCAAGUGGGCAGAUAUUUUUUAAAAAUUCGCUCGAAUCCGAGCUCAAAUCUUUCCUUAUUUUGCAAUCUUUUCAUUAUUCCAACAUCGUCUCGUUUCAACCAUUCCAGUGAAAAGGCAGCUGGUGGUCCUGCGAUCAGCCCCACCCGGGUAAUGCUGCAGCAUUCGAUGGCCUGUGGGAUGUCCGGAACGUGCAAGGAAGUUGAAUGUAUGCUGUUCGACGACGAUCCGGGAGUCAGAAAUUUGGUUUGCGUGAACCGUGCGAAAAAUAGCUGAAUAAAAACAUUGUCCUAGGAGGUAACUGUAGGACAAUCAAAUAAAUGUAAAAAGUGAUUCAUUGUACACAAAAUUGCUUUAUAGAUAAAUAUGGUUUGUCAAAUAAA